UACAGAGGGUGCGAGCGUUAAUCGGAAUUACUGGGCGUAAAGGGCUCGUAGGCGGCCAACUAAGUCGGACGUGAAAUCCCUCAGCUUAACUGGGGAACUGCGUCCGAUACUGGAUGGCUUGGAUUUGGGAGAGGGAUGCGGAAUUCCAGGUGUAGCGGUGAAAUGCGCAGAUAUCAGGAGGAACACCGAUGGCGAAGGCAGCUCGCUGGGACGGUACUGACGCUGAGGCGCGAAAGCGUGGGGAGCAAACAGG
rnacentral:rRNA from 1 species